UGGGCAACCUGCCCCUCUCUCUGGGAUAACCCCGGGAAAACCGGAGCUAAUACCGGAUACUCCGGCUGGAUCGCAUGGUCCGGCCGGGAAAGGUCCGCCGGAGAGGGAUGGGCCCGCGGCCUAUCAGCUUGUUGGUGGGGUCAUGGCUCACCAAGGCGACGACGGGUAGCUGGUCUGAGAGGACGACCAGCCACACUGGAACUGAGAUACGGUCCAGACUCCUACGGGAGCA
rnacentral:rRNA from 1 species